rnacentral:rRNA from 1 species
UACGUAGGGUGCAAGCGUUAAUCGGAAUUACUGGGCGUAAAGCGUGCGCAGGCGGUUCGCUAAGACAGAUGGGAAAUCCCCGGGCUUAACCUGGGAACUGCAUUUGUGACUGGCGGGCUAGAGUAUGGCAGAGGGGGGUAGAAUUCCACGUGUAGCAGUGAAAUGCGUAGAGAUGUGGAGGAAUACCGAUGGCGAAGGCAGCCCCCUGGGCCAAUACUGACGCUCAUGCACGAAAGCGUGGGGAGCGAACAGG